CGAAAGCCUACGUACCUGCGGCUAUUGAGGCCUUGAAAUGUGGCUGGUCUGAACUGAGAUGUGCUGUCUCCAUAUGGAAUUAGAAUUGUGAUAAAUGCUAUGACAGAAGGAUAUGCAGUUAAAGCAUUUGUAAUAAAUGCUUUAAUAGAGGUAUACUCACAAUGCUAUGACAAGGAGAGAGAGGGAACACUCUGGGUCACAGUUGUGCUU
rnacentral:lncRNA from 10 species